UACGGAGGGUGCAAGCGUUAUCCGGAUUUACUGGGUUUAAAGGGCGCGUAGGUGGGUUGGUAAGUCAGUGGUGAAAUCUCCGAGCUUAACUCGGAAACUGCCAUUGAUACUAUCAAUCUUGAAUAUCCUGGAGGUGAGCGGAAUAUGUCAUGUAGCGGUGAAAAUGCUUAGAUAUGACAUAGAACACCAAUUGCGAAGGCAGCUCACUACGGGGGCAUUGACACUGAGGCACGAAAGCGUGGGGGGAUCAAACAGGG
rnacentral:rRNA from 1 species